ensembl:lncRNA
CUCCUUUAACUGGACUGAUGCUAUGAGCUCUAGGGAGCAUACAAAACUUUCAGCCACUGUUGCCAUAUUUUGGUUAGGUUGCUAUUUCAUGAUUUAAGGCAGUUGGUGUUUUUCUGCUUCCUGUGGCAGCGCUCAGUAAAGACAUGACUACAUAGCAAGUUGUUGGAUCAGAGAGCUGCUCCAGCAGAAAACUCAUCUUUUGCUGCUUUUUUUGCCACUGGGUGAAUUUACAGCAAGUCAUUUCCUUUAUCAUGCAGUCACACAAGUUUUAGUAUUGCGAGGAGGAAGCUGGGAACGUGAAGACAGAAAUGAUGGGAGGGUAUGACCAUCACUUUAGGAAGCAGUUACACUAAAAUUGGAUCAAACAAACCAAGAAAACAUUUUAAUUUUUAGCUGGCAUAAAUAUUUAGUGACUCUCAGUGGGAUAUAGACAAACCUGUGCAAAGAAGUACUCUUUCUCAUAGCCAGCAGACAUGCCUGUAUAAACAGCUUCUUGUGAAGAGAUUAGAAUUUAGUGCAGUGAUCUCAUACUGCUCUGGGAAGGGAAGAUAAUUAAGAAUUACUGCCUCCAAGAAUGCAGCUGCAGAGGUGGAGGAACAGAGUGGUCAGAGCACUCAGUGAGAGGUUUCUGGUGACUGCUUCUUUAGCAGUCCUUGCCUAGUAUAAAUUCUAUAAACUUCCUCUUAUGGAGAAAUUGCAUUAGAGAGGUAGAACUGCAUAACAAAGAAUGUGUGAUUCAGGAAUGACAGCACCAUCUCAGUAGCUUUAUGAGGUGGUUCUUUGAUGUCUCUUCAAGUGUCAAGGUACAGUGCUGGCAAGCAGUAAGCUUUACUCACCUAUGCACAACUCAGGCCCUUCCCUCCUAUGAUCUGCAGGUGAGCUUAGUCUUUGGCAGUCUUUUGGAUAUUUGGAGACAAGCACACCUAGUGAUUUAGACUGGCAGUAGCCAAGCUUUGAAGGCCUGAAAAUUCAGAGGCUGAAAUGCUUGUGGGUUUUUUUUUAUUUUUCUCUGGGCUUGUUUGUUUCAUUUCUUCAUUUUUAAUGAAAAACCUGGAACGAAAAUUUCUGCCAUAGGACUUCAGGUCUUUGAAAGUAAGCUAUCAGGAAAUCAGACUUACUUUUGGGUGCCUCUUCUAUGAGGAAAGGCUGAGAGAGUUGGGGUGGUUCAGCUUGGAGAAGAGAAGGCUCUGGGGAAACCCUACAGCAUCCUUCCAGUGCCCAAAGGGGGCUACAGGAAAGCUGGAGAGGGACUUUUUGCCAGGGCCUGUUGUGAAAGGAUGGGGAAAGGCUUCAAACUGAGAGUAUGUGUAGAUUAGGUAUUAAGAAGGAAUUCCCCCUCUGUGAGGGUGGUGAGACACUGGAACAGGCUGCCCACUAAACUUGUGGCUGCCCCAUCCCCGCAAGCACUCAAGGCCAGGUUGGAUGGAGCCCUGAGCAGACAGGUCUAGUGAAAGGUGUUCCUGCCCAUGGCAGGGGGCUUGGAAGUACAAGAUCUUUAACAUUUCUUCCAAACCAAACCAUCCUGUGGUUCUGUGUUUCUAUGAUUUUGUUACACCCAAACAAUGUUGAGGCACACAGUUCCAAAGUAGCAAGCCUUACACAAAAAGGGAAAUUUGUGAAUCUUGAGUUUUCUUGACAUUUUGUAAAUGAUUUAACUUUGCUUUAAUUUCACUUUGUUGGUUUCUUUGCUACUGCUUGUUAGCUGGACUACUAAGCAAUAAUAUUUUCACUUAGUUUUAUUUCUAUUCCUGUUGAAGUAGAGUUCUUUUACUCCUUACUGUUAAGAAGAAAGUGCUGAAAUUUGAAGUUUCAGACUUGUGCUUCAUGGUAUCUAAAGUUACAAGUAUGUCUCCCUACCAAGAUAUUUUCCAGAUGAAGUAAUUCUUGGCGAGGCUAAAAGGCCCAGAACAUAAAAGAUGGUAUAUUGUUGUAUGUUGUAUAAAACAAAACCUGUUUCUAUACAGUAUCUUUUUUUUUUUUUUGAGUAGUCCAUAUUAAUAUUAGAAGCUUGACUAAGAUCAGCUUUUACUUAGAAAUCAUUUACAAUAGUAAAUUAUAAUAUUUAUAGAGCAAAUAUUUACAAAAGUUUGGAAUUUGUAAUAUUUGUAUUAUAAAUAUAAAGCCAGUGAAUGAAUAGGAAAAAACAACUUGUAAAAAAAAUAAUGAUAGAUAGUUGAGAAAAAUUUGGAUACCAGCAGCUUAGCUUCUUGGAAAAUACUUCUAAGUUUUGUACACUGGGAUGAAAUUAGUGGAGAGCAAAAUAAAAGUGGCAUUUCUGAGGAUUUCUGAAUGUGGGAGAUGGAAACAGAAUCCUCACUUUUUACAUUGUCUUUUUUCAUCCAACUUUCUGCACUUUCUAACCAGAGGAACAGAUUAUCUCUGUAGAGCUGUGCUGAUAUGGAGCUUUCUGAUUAAUUAUCCAAAUGAGGGCCUUCCUCUGGCACUGGCCUCCUCUUCCCUACCCCGUGCUCUGAAUUGCCACACUCCCUGCUCUGCUGGCAAAAUGCCCGUGGUCUCAGUGGGCACGACCUGUUUGACAGUGCAGCCCCAUGCACCGUGGGUGUGAUGGUGCUCUGCCACGGGCAGAGAAGGGAGAUGAGGAUGCCUUAUGCCAGUGUUGCUGCCAGAGGACUGGUUUGAUAGAGGUUUGGCUGCAUAGAUCUGCAGGAUCAAUAAAUUUGGCAGCAAGUCUUCUUUUGUCAGCCUUCCAUGUUGCUUUAACUCAAGACAGAAAGAGAGGGCAACCUCUGGCCAAGUAUAUGUGAAGUGGAAGGUGCCCUGUCCUCUGGUUUGUAUGGUGAGAUUGACUUCACCAGGUUCACACUGUGUGUUGUUAGAGAAAGAAAUGCAAAAAGAAAUAAUAACAAAAUAUGUGGGAUAAAGAGGUGGCUAUGUUUUAUAACAUAAAAUCAAGAACAUAUGUUGGCAUGGGAGGAUGGGGGACAGCAUGAGAAUGCAAAACUUGUAGAGAUACUGCUCAGAACUAUGCUGGGUCUGCAUGUGCUACAUGUGUCAAAUGUGGUGAUUUGGUCUAGCAGUUUAUACUGAUACUUUUAAUACUUUGAUGUGAUUCAGAAUUUUAGAUUUUUAUUUUCAUACAUAGUUCUAGUUCUACUCUGGUUGCUAGCUCCACAGCAAGACAAUCCAUGGGACUUUCUGUUAUUUCAGAGGAACAUGAUUCAUCUCAGAUGAUGGGAUUACACAUGAUCAGGAUUUACAGUAUUGUGCAUUAUUUGAAGUUGGGUUUGGAAAUACUUUAAAAAGAGUUUCCUGAUUGUGUAUCAAGAAUGUACCUAAGUACAUAAACAUGGGCUUUUCCAUCUUCACCCUUCUACAUGAAAACAAUACAGCUCUUCAAACAAUGGGAGAUUACUGCACUCCUCAGGAAGCUCAAGUCUUUCACUCAGGCACGUAGAAUAAGUGAUAUGGCAAAGCUUCCUGAUGUUGAUAACAGCAGUCACAAUUUUGUCAGGAGAAAUCUUUAGAAGGAAGCACAUGACUUAAAAAUGUUGGCAUAUCUGAUUUGAAAUGCCAUAUUUUAUAAGAAAAACUUACUUUCAUCUGCAAACUGACUGCCUAAGUAUUUGCAUUCUGAGGGUUCAAUAGCUUCAAUCUCCCAGACCUUUGUCAUAUUUCUGGUGCAGUAUUUUAGACAAUAUAAAGCUAUAUGCUGCAAAAGUUAGCUCAACACAAAUUCUUUAGAAGUGGGUGUAAGAGUUAAAUGAAUGUAAAACUAACAUAGGCCUAGGAUAGAUUUCAGCUUAUCUUUCUAAGGAAGUGAUAGCUACAUCUCUAGUCAUCAUAAGCCAGAUCAUUCAGUAGGUAUCCUUGCUGCAUUUUGCUGGCAUGACUUUAGAUGUUGCCUGAGGUAGGGAAAACAGACCUGGCUGAUGAUGCUCAGACCGGCCACCUGAGCACAGACACAUCAAUUUUUGUUGUCCCUGUUACAAGCAAAAUAUUGUCUGGCAAGGGGACAAGACAAGACAGCUGGGGAAGCACCCAACCUUGAAUCUGGGCUCACUGGCUUCACUGGCACAGAAAAAAGAAAAAGAAAAAGAAAAA